rnacentral:rRNA from 1 species
ACGCGAGGAACCUUACCAGGUCUUGACAUCCCAUUGACCGCUAUGGAGACAUAGCUUUCCCUUCGGGGACAGUGGUGACAGGUGGUGCAUGGUUGUCGUCAGCUCGUGUCGUGAGAUGUUGGGUUAAGUCCCGCAACGAGCGCAACCCUUAUUCUUAGUUGCCAUCAUUUAGUUGGGUACUCUAAGGAGACUGCCGGUGACAAACCGGAGGAAGGUGGGGAUGACGUCAAAUCAUCAUGCCCCUUAUGACCUGGGCUACACACGUGCUACAAUGGACGGUACAAACGGUUGCCAACCCGCGAGGGGGAGCUAAUCCGAUAAAACCGUUCUCAGUUCGGAUUGUAGGCUGCAACUCGCCUACAUGAAGCCGGAAUCGCUAGUAAUCGCGGAUCAGCAUGCCGCGGUGAAUACGUUCCCGGGCCUUGUACACACCGCCCGU